GGCUUUAGACAUAGUGAUUUGAGAAUAAACAAGGAUCUUAGAGGUGGCCAAUUCUGAUCUGCCAUCUGCCCUCCAGGGUCACCGCUACAAUCAUGGGAGCAAUAGCAACCGCCUUAUUGGCAUCUGGAGUAUCAGUAUGAGUGGAAGGUGGAGGAAUGGGCAGGCACAGAGUGCUACAUGAGAAUAAACAUUGUGCACUGGUU
rnacentral:lncRNA from 1 species